rnacentral:lncRNA from 10 species
CAAAGUUAUUGAUUGGGGUAGGGGUAGGAGGUGGGGGGAGGCAGGAACUGCUGACCCAGAAUUCCAUAUCCAGUGAAAAUAUCUUUCAAAAUUGAAAGUAAAAUGAAGAUGUUUUCAGAAAAUGCUGAGGGGAUUAGUCACCAGCAGAUGUGGACUAAAAGAAAUGUUAAAGGAAGUUCUUCUGAUAGAAGGAAAAUUAUACCAGAUGCUAAUUUGGAUCUACAUGAGGGAAGGAAGAGCACUUUAAAGAACCUUGCCAGUGAUGUAUUAUUAAAGAAGGAAGGAAGGAGGAAGAAUGGAAGGAGGAGGGAAGAAGAAGGAAGGAGGUGAGAGGUGUGCGGA